rnacentral:rRNA from 1 species
ACGCGCGGAACCUUACCAGGUCUUGACAUCCUCUGACACUCCUAGAGAUAGGACGUUCCCCUUCGGGGGACAGAGUGACAGGUGGUGCAUGGUUGUCGUCAGCUCGUGUCGUGAGAUGUUGGGUUAAGUCCCGCAACGAGCGCAACCCUUGAUCUUAGUUGCCAGCAUUAAGUUGGGCACUCUAAGGUGACUGCCGGUGACAAACCGGAGGAAGGUGGGGAUGACGUCAAAUCAUCAUGCCCCUUAUGACCUGGGCUACACACGUGCUACAAUGGAUGGUACAAAGGGCAGCAAAGCGGUGACGCCUAGCAAAUCCCAUAAAACCAUUCUCAGUUCGGAUUGUAGGCUGCAACUCGCCUACAUGAAGCUGGAAUCGCUAGUAAUCGCGGAUCGGCAUGCCGCGGUGAAUACGUUCCCGGGCCUUGCACUCACCGCCCGU